GACGAACGCUGGCGGCGUGCCUAAUACAUGCAAGUAGAACGCACAGUUUAUACCGUAGCUUGCUACACCAUAAACUGUGAGUUGCGAACGGGUGAGUAACGCGUAGGUAACCUGCCUGGUAGCGGGGGAUAACUAUUGGAAACGAUAGCUAAUACCGCAUCAUAUUGAUUAUUGCAUGAUAAUUGAUUGAAAGAUGCUAUUGCAUCACUACUAGAUGGAUCUGCGUUGUAUUAGCUAGUAGGUGAGGUAACGGCUCACCUAGGCGACGAUACAUAGCCGACUGGAGAGGGUGAUCGGCCACCCUGGGACUGAGACACGGCCCAGACUCCUACGGGAGGCAGCAGUAGGGAAUCUUCGGCAAUGGACGAAAGUCUGACCGAGCAACGCCGCGUGAGUGAAGAAGGUUUUCGGAUCGUAAAGCUCUGUUGUAAGAGAAGAACGGGUGUGAGAGUGGAAAGUUCACACUGUGACGGCAUCUUACCAGAAAGGGACGGCUAACUACGUG
rnacentral:rRNA from 1 species